UACGUAGGUGGCGAGCGUUGUCCGGAUUUACUGGGCGUAAAGAGCGCGCAGGCGGUCGUACAAGUCGCGUGUGAAAGCCCCUGGCUCAACUGGGGAGGGUCACGCGAUACUGUUCGACUUGAAGGCAGGAGAGGGAAGUGGAAUUCCCGGUGUAGUGGUGAAAUGCGUAGAUAUCGGGAGGAACACCAGUGGCGAAGGCGACUUCCUGGCCUGUUCUUGACGCUGAGACGCGAAAGCGUGGGGAGCGAACAGG
rnacentral:rRNA from 1 species